UGCAACUUUUACAGGUGACAUCCAUGAUUCCAAACUAAUUAAUCAUAAGAAGCAGUAGAUCGUCUUUGAUGGUAAAUAGAUUCUUGUACUGAAAUUUCUUUCCAUUCUGUAAAUAAAGUGGUAAUUUGAGCUGUAACAAUGGGCUUCAAUGAGAAAAACAUUUCUUGUAUUUUGGCAUUACACUAUAUACUGGAUCUCUUGAUCUGAAAAAUUUAGAUUCCUCGUAGUAGUCCUUUCUUGUAAAUCCAGGCCUUUGUUGUUUCAUUCAAAUUCAUAAGAUCUGGAUGAUUGGGAAAUUGUUUUUCUAUCGCAGCAACAACACUUUCUUUAUUGUCAUGAUCAGAAAUGUAUUUUUUAUAUGUUUUGAAUUCAAGCAGAAUAUCAUGAACUGAAAGAUCAAUUUCAUCCAUGUCUUUUGUUGCUGCUACUAAAGUUCUGUAAUUUUUUAUAGAAAAUGUUAUAAUAGUCAAAUUUAAUAUAAGUUUAUUUAACAAGAAAUCACUAUUACCUUAGAGCACCGAGUUACUCAGUUGUUUAUGUAGACACUUUACGCGCAGAUAAUUCCACAAAACUGUCUGCUAGUGACAGCAAAACAAGUCAGCAGUGCCGGUGCACUGGCCAGUAAAACAAAGAGAGAGAGGUUACCGGGUGCAGGAAUAACGCGCGGUUGUGUGUAGUAAAGUAAGGUCCAAACGCGAAAUAUUUUUAACAUUCGCGUUGAUUUAAAAAUCAAUCUGGAGAAGAUAAUUUUCAUUUGGAGCCUACGAAUAGUGAAUCAGCCUCAGAUAAUGAUAUCCUUAGCUUGGACAACGAUUUACGGUUUUCGGACAAUGAGCAGACUAUAACUAAUUGCAGCGAAACUACUUCAUCAACGUCUCUUGCGACGAGUAAUUCUAUAAAGAAGAAAAGAAGGAGAAGAUUGCCAAGAAAAUGAUGCGAAAUGCAACCCUGCAGAGCGCGACUUUGUGUUCCAUGCAUCAGGCGCUUGAACAAAAGGAAAUGUCCACAUUGCUCAACUCGCAUCGGCAAUUAUCUCCCUCCAGAUUUGAUGGAAGGAGAAAAUUGGGAAAACGAGAUGGAAACGGAGCAGCCGGAAAACUCGAACGGAGUGGCAUAAGUCAAGGAAUCGACAGUAGCAACUUCAUCGCGUUAUAAACGCAAUGUUUAUAAAGACAUUUAAUAAAAUAACACAUGACAUUAAAAAAAAUUGAUGUUUUCGAGCUUUUUUGUAAUAUCUUUUAAAAUAAAUUACUGCAUUAUUUUUCACUGGAAAUUGUGAUUAUAUUGAUUUAUUCCCUUUUUCACUAACUUACGUUUCGUACUGUCUUUAAAUGUAAUUAUAAUUUUUAAUGGACUUAAAAUAUGUGCCUUUUAAAAAUAUCAAUUUGAAAUUCAACAGUCAAAAUUUUUCUUGAGUGCAUGAAGUCUU